rnacentral:lncRNA from 1 species
CCUAUCAUGACACCCAGUUGCAACCCAAGACAACUGUACAAUAGUGACAAGUCUGGAACAUAAGAUGGUUCUUGGAUUGACAAUACAGUGAAGAAAAGAAUGCUGUUGCAGCUCUUUUAGCCCCAUAGGCUAAGGUAGUAUAUUUAACUUGCAUAGUCAUCUUUUAUUUAGUUGUAGUUUGUGUUUGCUCUUUAGAUUUGUUUUGAGAUAAUUGGAAUCAUUUCUGUGUUGGAUUUAUAUAUGUUUGAUUCUUAUGCAUGAUGAUGGUGAGUAGUUUAAUAAAGUUUUUAUGAAACUUUUGAUAUUUCGUUUUGAUUAUGGGUAAGCAAAAGCUUCCAGAGAUUUACAGGAACACAUUGGCUUUUAGUUUCAUGUUGGCUUCUAGAUUCAACUCUAGAUAAGUCAAUGAUAUUGUUUCAUAACAACAUGAUUUCUUCAUACUUCAAGAUGGAAGAUGGAUUAAAACUGAUUUUUUUUUUUUUUUUUUUGACGUUAAUGUUACAUUUUGAUUUUUACAAAGUUUUUUUUUUUGUUAUAAAUUGGUAAACAUCAGUGUAAUUCAUUGCUUAAUUUUUGUUUUUCUGUAAUGAAUAUAUCACCUUUUAAAUAAGAAGACCUAUGCCUUUACCUGAAAUGAAGCCUCCAGGUUCCAUUCUUCUGAACGUAUAUAAUUUUUUAAGCUAACUCAAUGGGCUGACCUGACUCUCUUUCUAAAGAGGAGUUAGUCAUCACUUUAUGAAUCAGAAGAAGUUUGGAUUUUAUGUGCUUCAACUUACUAAUAUUUGUGGGUAAAUAUAUUUUGUUUCUCACAUGACUAUGCAAUAGAGAAAUAAUUUUCAGGAAAAAAAAGGACAAGCUGGAGAUGGGAAAAAGUCGUUAUGUUCAGAUGUCCUAUUAUGCUUCUUUUAUAUGAGUUCAUGCCAGGCUGAACAAUGUAUAUGACAGGGUGCAGUUCAGCAAAUUCUGCAGGGUACCCUGUCAUACACAUAAGCAAGGGAAGGAAGUAAGACUACAAAGGAUCAGCACCACGACAGGAAUGUAGUCAGCAGCAAAAUAGGGACUGUCCUGGAGCCACAGAUGAUCAUUAAUGACUCAUACAUUAUUAUGUACUCACUAUUUUUGAGUUUGUUUAACUUUUUGGGUGAACUAGACACAUUCGAACUGAGAAACAUGUAGUCUUUAUAAGUCGGUUACAAAUAUAAUUGUCUAUUUUGUACAGUAUAUUGCAUCAUUAAGCCUAUAUUUUUAUUUUAUCAGUUAAACAUUAAA